CUGGCUCAGAUUGAACGCUGGCGGCAGGCCUAACACAUGCAAGUCGAGCGGUAGCACAGAGAGCUUGCUCUCGGGUGACGAGCGGCGGACGGGUGAGUAAUGUCUGGGAAACUGCCUGAUGGAGGGGGAUAACUACUGGAAACGGUAGCUAAUACCGCAUAACGUCGCAAGACCAAAGUGGGGGACCUUCGGGCCUCAUGCCAUCAGAUGUGCCCAGAUGGGAUUAGCUAGUAGGUGGGGUAACGGCUCACCUAGGCGACGAUCCCUAGCUGGUCUGAGAGGAUGACCAGCCACACUGGAACUGAGACACGGUCCAGACUCCUACGGGAGGCAGCAGUGGGGAAUAUUGCACAAUGGGCGCAAGCCUGAUGCAGCCAUGCCGCGUGUGUGAAGAAGGCCUUCGGGUUGUAAAGCACUUUCAGCGGGGAGGAAGGCGAUGAGGUUAAUAACCUCGUCGAUUGACGUUACCCGCAGAAGAAGCACCGGCUAACUCCGUGCCAGCAGCCGCGGUAAUACGGAGGGUGCAAGCGUUAAUCGGAAUUACUGGGCGUAAAGCGCACGCAGGCGGUCUGUCAAGUCGGAUGUGAAAUCCCCGGGCUCAACCUGGGAACUGCAUUCGAAACUGGCAGGCUAGAGUCUUGUAGAGGGGGGUAGAAUUCCAGGUGUAGCGGUGAAAUGCGUAGAGAUCUGGAGGAAUACCGGUGGCGAAGGCGGCCCCCUGGACAAAGACUGACGCUCAGGUGCGAAAGCGUGGGGAGCAAACAGGAUUAGAUACCCUGGUAGUCCACGCCGUAAACGAUGUCGAUUUGGAGGUUGUGCCCUUGAGGCGUGGCUUCCGGAGCUAACGCGUUAAAUCGACCGCCUGGGGAGUACGGCCGCAAGGUUAAAACUCAAAUGAAUUGACGGGGGCCCGCACAAGCGGUGGAGCAUGUGGUUUAAUUCGAUGCAACGCGAAGAACCUUACCUGGUCUUGACAUCCA
rnacentral:rRNA from 1 species